rnacentral:misc_RNA from 1 species
CCGAGUUUACAACUCCCAAACCCCUGUGAACAUAUCACUUGUUGCCUCGGCGGAUCAGCCCGCUCCCGGUAAAACGGGACGGCCCGCCAGAGGACCCCUAAACUCUGUUUCUAUAUGUAACUUCUGAGUAAAACCAUAAAUAAAUCA